rnacentral:piRNA from 1 species
UGGCCACCUGCAUGAUCAGGGUAAGG